rnacentral:rRNA from 1 species
UACAGAGGUCUCGAGCGUUGUUCGGAUUCAUUGGGCGUAAAGGGUGCGUAGGUGGCGAGGCAAGUCGGAUGUGAAAUCCCGGGGCUUAACCCCGGAACUGCAUUCGAUACUGCCUUGCUCGAGUACUGGAGAGGAGACUGGAAUUUACGGUGUAGCAGUGAAAUGCGUAGAUAUCGUAAGGAAGACCAGUGGCGAAGGCGAGUCUCUGGACAGUUACUGACACUGAGGCACGAAGGCCAGGGGAGCAAACGGG